UACAGAGGGUGCAAGCGUUAAUCGGAAUUACUGGGCGUAAAGCGCACGUAGGCGGCUUGGUAUGUCGGGUGUGAAAUCCCCGGGCUCAACCUGGGAACUGCAUCCGAAACUGCCUUGCUGGAGUAUGGGAGAGGGAAGCGGAAUUUCCGGUGUAGCGGUGAAAUGCGUAGAUAUCGGAAGGAACAUCAGUGGCGAAGGCGGCUUCCUGGACCAAUACUGACGCUCAGGUGCGAAAGCGUGGGGAGCAAACAGG
rnacentral:rRNA from 1 species